rnacentral:rRNA from 1 species
UACGAAGGGGGGCUAGCGUUGCUCGGAAUUACUGGGCGUAAAGCGCACGUAGGCGGAUAUUUAAGUCAGGGGUGAAAUCCCAGAGCUCAACUCUGGAACUGCCUUUGAUACUGGGUAUCUUGAGUAUGGAAGAGGUAAGUGGAAUUGCGAGUGUAGAGGUGAAAUUCGUAGAUAUUCGCAGGAACACCAGUGGCGAAGGCGGCUUACUGGUCCAUAACUGACGCUGAGGUGCGAAAGCGUGGGGAGCAAACAGG